GAUGAACGCUGGCGGCGUGCCUAAUACAUGCAAGUCGAGCGAACAGACGAGGAGCUUGCUCCUCUGACGUUAGCGGCGGACGGGUGAGUAACACGUGGUUAACCUACCUAUAAGACUGGGAUAACUUCGGGAAACCGGAGCUAAUACCGGAUAAUAUAUUGAACCGCAUGGUUCAAUAGUGAAAGACGGUUUUGCUGUCACUUAUAGAUGGAUCCGCGCCGCAUUAGCUAGUUGGUAAGGUAACAGCUUACCAAGGCAACGAUGCGUAGCCGACCUGAGAGGGUGAUCGGCCACACUGGAACUGAGACACGGUCCAGACUCCUACGGGAGGCAGCAGUAGGGAAUCUUCCGCAAUGGGCGAAAGCCUGACGGAGCAACGCCGCGUGAGUGAUGAAGGUCUUCGGAUCGUAAAACUCUGUUAUUAGGGAAGAACAAAUGUGUAAGUAACUAUGCACGUCUUGACGGUACCUAAUCAGAAAGCCACGGCUAACUACGUG
rnacentral:rRNA from 1 species